CGACUGUUUAUCAAAAACACAGGGCUCUGCGAAGCCGUAAGGCGACGUAUAGGGUCUGACGCCUGCCCGGUGCCGGAAGGUUAAAAGGAGAUGUGCAAGCAUUGAAUUGAAGCCCCGGUAAACGGCGGCCGUAACAAUAACGGUCCUAAGGUAGCGAAAUUCCUUGUCGGGUAAGUUCCGACCUGCACGAAUGGCGUAACGACUUCCCCGCUGUCUCAAAUGUGGACUCAGCGAAAUUGAAUUGUCUGUGAAGAUGCAGACUUCCCGCGGUUAGACGGAAAGACCCCAUGCACCUUUACUACAACUUCGCACUGGCAUCAGGAUUGCGAUGUGCAGGAUAGGCGGUAGGCUUUGAAGCGGGGACGCCAGUCCUCGUGGAGCCAUCCUUGAGAUACCGCCCUUCGCACUCUUGAUGUCUAACCGCGGCCCGUUAUCCGGGUCCGGGACCCUGCGUGGUGGGUAGUUUGACUGGGGCGG
rnacentral:rRNA from 1 species